ACACAUCGCAAGAUCAUCAACAGCUAUUUAGACUCUCAAAAUCAAGCACCGGAAAGCUGCUACGAAGCACAUUUCUUAAGAGAGUUAACAGAACAUCUCCGGAGAAGUGGGCAAGGCAGACUUAGGCAGAACACAAACACACACAGAAAUUCCCGGAUUCCUGCCCCAGGAGGGAUGCUGCCAGCUUUCUCCUGGAAGCAGCCAGUUCUGCACAUCUUCCUUUGAGCUAUCUGCUCAGGAAUGCACAAGUGCUUUCUGGGGAACUGAAUGUAUAUCUUUGGGAGCCUUCUUUCAGCUUGCAAGUGACUCCACAGGACAAGAACCCUCUGGUCCAUGCUGUUAUUCCCAUGUGCAGACAGAAAGGUGAGGCAUGACUCAUGAUGACUCAGAGCUAGAACCAGAAGGAAGUUCAACAAAUCCAGCAGCAGAUCUGGGACCCUUUAAUGCUUACAAGGGAGGACCUCUAAGAAAUGGACACUCUGUGAUGCCCGUGCUUGUGGAGCUACACAUCAGAUGCAGGAAGACAAGGGACUCACCAACCUGCUACCUACAGUGAUCUAUUUUUGCCUAUUGAAUCUUUAGGGAUUCAGGUAUAAUAAUUUAUGUUUUUCUCAUUUAUAUAACAUAUAUUUUGCUUUUAAAUAUGACAUCCGCUCCAAGUGUUCUGCCAAGGUAGAAGAUUUAACAGUUUAGACCACGACAGUCUGCCUUUCUCUAGCAUCAAGCAAAUAAAAUGUAAAACAGUA